UACCUGCAGCUCAAGUGGUGACCACUAUUAUUGGGCCUAAAACGUUCGUAGCCGGUUUGGUAAAUGCCUGGGUAAAUCGUGUAGCUUAACUAUACGAAUUCCGGGUAGACUGCCAAACUUGAGACCGGGAGAAGCUAGAGGUACUCCUGGGGUAGAGGUGAAAUUCUGUAAUCCUGGGGGGACCACCAGUGGCGAAGGCGUCUAGCUAGAACGGGUUUGACGGUGAGGAACGAAGCCCUGGGGCGCAAACCGGAUUAGAUACCCCGGGUAGUCCAGGGUGUAAACGCUGCUUGCUUGAUGUUAGUUGGGCUCCGAGCCCAAUUAGUGUCGGAGAGAAGUUGUUAAGCAAGCUGCCUGGGAAUACGAUCGCAAGAUUGAAACUUAAAGGAAUUGGCGGGGGAGCACAGCAACGGGUGGAGCGUGCGGUUU
rnacentral:rRNA from 1 species